AUCUAACGAAUGCCAAAGUGUUGUACUUUGUGAAUUUCGUUAAACGGAAUCCAAAGUACUAUACUUUGUGAGUUCAAUAAAUGGAUGCCAAAGUAUUGUCUGAAUAAGACUAUACUUUGUGAAAUUCGUUAAGGUUCGAAUCUCGUGAUCAUCGUUAGGUUUGAUAUUGUUUUACACAAAUACGUAUUCCAUGCUGUUAAACUAUAUGUUUAACUACCCGAAACUCUACACCGUACUCUGACAAUCAAUAUGGAUGCCUAAUCAUUAGAAGGUUCAAAACAAUAAAGUAUAUGCCUAGUUAUCAGGAGGCGUAAAAUCAAGAAAAUCAAUACUGCAUGCUUAUACUGUAAUUACAGUAGAUUGGAGUAAGAGUUGGAUACGACACCAACAAGACUUACAGAAGUGGCUCAUUUUUUUUAUCAAUUAAAUUAAAUUAAGAAAAAUUGUUUUAUAUAAUCGGGUUUAUCCCUUAUUAAAGCUACCAUUGUAAAACAUGGGUUUUUAUCCCAUCUAUUUAAUAAAUAAAAUCCGGUGU
rnacentral:lncRNA from 1 species